UACGUAGGGUGCGAGCGUUAAUCGGAAUUAUUGGGCGUAAAGGGCGCGUAGGCGAUUUGAAAAGUCUUGUGUGAAAGCCCCGAGCUUAACUCGGGAAGUGCACAAGAAACUGUUGAAUUUGAGUUCCGGAGAGGAAGGCAGAAUUCCCGGUGUAGCGGUGAAAUGCGUAGAUAUCGGGAGGAAUACCAGUGGCGAAGGCGGCCUUCUGGACGGAUACUGACGCUGAGGCGCGAAAGCCAGGGGAGCAAACGGG
rnacentral:rRNA from 1 species